CUGGAAACCUGACGAUACAGCUUUUUAUCAAAGUCCAGCUGAGCAGAAACAGAAAAUUCGUCCUCUUCCUUAAACUCACUGAAAAGCCAAUUCUACAGAGGAACAGGACAAAGACAGACAGAGCUCAGUUUGGAAGGAGACGAGAGUGCUCCAAUUAAACCGGACAUCAGAAACAGGAUCCAAUAAGAAAGGAGCACACUUGAAGAAUACACAGUUCUCACCUGGACACUCCUGCAGGACAUCCCAUAAUAACACUGAUAUCUGGGCCUUCACCCUCACGCAAGCCCCGACGAACCGCUGUUCUUAACCGAGGAGAGCAAAGCCAUGUCGAGAUCCUGGUUCGCCGGUCUACACACAGCCUAAUCUACACACAGCCUAAUCUAGAAUGUUUCCUUGCUAGUGUAAAGCUA